GACGAACGCUGGCGGCAUGCCUAAUACAUGCAAGUCGAACGAACCAAACUGAAGAUUGAUGCUUGCAUCAUGAUUCAGACCUUGGUGAGUGGCGGACGGGUGAGUAACACGUGGGUAACCUGCCCAAAAGUGGGGGAUAACAUUUGGAAACAAGUGCUAAUACCGCAUAACAACUACUUUCACAUGAUCGUAGCUUGAAAGAUGGCUCUGCUAUCGCUUUUGGAUGGACCCGCGGCGUAUUAGCUAGUUGGUGAGGUAAUAGCUCACCAAGGCAAUGAUACGUAGCCGACCUGAGAGGGUAAUCGGCCACAUUGGGACUGAGACACGGCCCAAACUCCUACGGGAGGCAGCAGUAGGGAAUCUUCCACAAUGGGCGAAAGCCUGAUGGAGCAAUGCCGCGUGAGUGAAGAAGGUUUUCGGAUCGUAAAACUCUGUUGUUGAAGAAGAACAUGCGUGAGAGUAACUGUUCACGUACUGACGGUAUUCAACCAGAAAGC
rnacentral:rRNA from 1 species